rnacentral:tRNA from 1 species
GCUCCCAUCGUCUAGAGGCCUAGGACAGCGGAUUCUCAGUCCGCGAACAACGGUUCAAAUCCGUUUGGGAGUACCA